UUUUUUUUUUUUUUUUUUAGAUUUUUUUUUUUAUUGGUGUUCAAUUUACUAACUACAGAAUAACACCCAGUGCCCGUCACCCAUUCACUCCCCCCCCGCCCCCUCCUCCCUUCCACCACCCCUAGUUCGUUUCCCAGAGUUAGCAGUCUUUAUGUUCUGUCUCCCUUUCUGAUAUUUCCCACACAUUUCUUCUCCCUUCCCUUUUUUUCCCCUUUUACUAUUUUUUAUAUUUCCCCAAUGAAUGAGAACAUAUAAGUUUGUCCUUCUCCGACUGACUUACUUCACUCAGCAAAUACCCUCCAGUUCCAUCCACGUUGAAGCAAAUGGUGGGUAUUUUUUCAUUUCUAAUAGCUGAGUAAUAUUCCAUUGUAUAAAAUAAACCACAUCUUCUUUAUCCAUUCAUCUUUGUUGGACACCGAGGCUCCUUCCACAGUUUGGCUAUCGUGGCCAUUGCCCGCUAGAAACAUCGGGGUGCAGGUGUCCCAGCGUUUCAUUGCAUUUGUAUCUUUGGGGUAAAUCCCCCAAAAGUGCAAUUUCUGGGUCGUAGGGCAGGUAUAUUUUUAACUGUUUGAGGAACCUCCACACAGUUUUCCACAGUGGCUGCACCAGUUCACUUUUCCCCCCAACAGUGUAAGAGGGUUCCCUUUUCUCCACAUCCUCUCCAACAUUUGUUGUUUCCUGCCUUGUUAAUUUUUCCCAUUCUCACUGGUGUGAGGUGGUAUUCAUUGUGGUUUUGAUUUGGGAUUUCCCUGAUGGCAAGUGAUGCAGGCAUUUUCUCAUGUGCAUGUUGGCCAUGUCUAUGUCUUCUUCUGUGAGAUUUCUGUUCAUGUCUUUUGCCCAUUUCAUGAUUGGGUUGUUUUUUCUUUGGUGUUGAGUUUAAUAAGUUCUUUAUAGAUCUUGGAAACUAGCCCUUUAUCUGAUAUGUCAUUUGCAAAUAUCUUCUCCCAUUCUGUAGGUUGUCUUUGAGUUUUGUUGACUGUAUCCUUUGCUUUGCUAAAGCUUCUUAUCUUGAUGAAGUCCCAAUAGUUCAUUUUUGCUUUUGUUUCUUUUGCCUUCGUGGAUGUAUCUUGCAAGAAGUUACUAUGGCCGAGUUCAAAAAGGGUGUUGCCUGUGUUUCUUCUCUAGGAUUUUGAUGGAAUCUUGUCUCACAUUUAGAUCUUUCAUCCAUUUUGAGUUUAUCUUUGUGUAGGGUGAAAGAGAGUGGUCUAGUUUCAUUCUUCUGCAUGUGGAUGUCCAAUUUUCCCAGCACCAUUUAUUGAAGAGAACUGUCUUUCUUCCAAUGGAUAGUCUUUCCUCCUUUAUCGAAUAUUAGUUGCCCAUAAAGUUCAGGGUCCACUUCUGGAUUCUCUAUUCUGUUCCACUGAUCUAUGUGUCUGUUUUUGUGCCAGUACCACACUGUCUUGAUGACCACAGCUUUGUAGUACAACCUGAAAUCUGGCAUUGUGAUGCCCCCAGAUAUGGUUUUCUUUUUUAAAAUUCCCCUGGCUAUUCGGGGUCUUUUCUGAUUCCACACAAAUCUUAAAAUAAUUUGUUCUAACUCUCUGAAGAAAGUCCAUGGUAUUUUGAUAGGGAUUGCAUUAAUGUGUAUAUUGCCCUGGGUAACAUUGACAUUUUCACAAUAUUAAUUCUGCCAAUCCAUGAGCAUGGAAUAUUUUUCCAUCUCUGUGUCUUCCUCAAUUUCUUUCAGAAGUGUUCUAUAGUUUUGAGGGUAUAGAUCCUUUACAUCUUUGGUGAGGUUUAUUCCUAGGUAUCUUAUGCUUUUGGGUGCAAUUGUAAAUGGGAUUGACUCCUUAAUUUCUCUUUCUUCAGUCUCAUUGUAGUGUAUAGAAAUGCCACUGACUUCUGGGCAUUGAUUUUGUAUCCUGCCACGCUACCGAAUUGCUGUAUGAGUUCUAGCAAUCUUGGGGUGGAGACUUUUGGGUUUUCUAUGUAGAGUAUCAUGUCAUCGGCGAAGAGGGAGAGUUUGACUUCUUCUUUGCCAAUUUGAAUGCCUUUAAUGUCUUUUUGUUGUCUGAUUGCUGAGGCUAGGACUUCCAGUACUAUGUUGAAUAGCAGUGGUGAGAGUGGACAUCCCUGUCUUGUUCCUGAUCUUAGGGGAAAGGCUCCCAGUGCUUCCCCAUUGAGAAUGAUAUUUGCUGUGGGCUUUUCAUAGAUGGCUUUUAAGAUGUCGAGGAAUGUUCCCUCUAUCCCUACACUCUGAAGAGUUUUGAUCAGGAAUGGAUGCUGUAUUUUGUCAAAUGCUUUCUCUGCAUCCAAUGAGAGGAUCAUAUGGUUCUUGGUUUUUCUCUUGCUGAUAUGAUGAAUCACAUUGAUUGUUUUACGGGUGUUGAACCAGCCUUGUGUCCCAGGGAUAAAUCCUACUUGGUCAUGGUGAAUAAUUUUCUUAAUGUACUGUUGGAUCCUAUUGGCCAGUAUCUUGUUGAGAAUUUUUGCAUCCAUGUUCAUCAGGGAUAUUGGUCUGUAAUUCUCCUUUUUGGCGGGGUCUUUGUCUGGCUUUGGAAUUAAGGUGAUGCUGGCUUCAUAGAACGAAUUUGGAAGUACUCCAUCUCUUUCUAUCUUUCCAAACAGCUUUAGGAGAAUAGGUAUGAUUUCUUCUUUAAACGUUUG
rnacentral:lncRNA from 1 species